rnacentral:lncRNA from 1 species
CACUCCCCUCAUUCGAUGUUACAUCCCAAUAGUCCCACAUUGAAUAAUUAUGGAUAGAUGUAGGAGUAUAUAAGUUUGAUUGGGCUAGACAUAAUAACUGGGCUUAAGUAUUUUGGGCUGGUGGUUGGGCCCAACAAGUUAUUAUUGCUAGUGGUCGGAUCGUUACAUUUGGUAUCUAGCAAGACAAGUCUCACAUCGCCUGGUGUGGGAGUAUAUAAGUUUGAUUGGGUUAGACAUAAUAACUGAACUUAAGCAUUUUGGGCUGGUGAUUGAGCCCAACGAGUUAUUAUUGCUAGUGGUCGGGUUGUUACAUUCAAGAUCGUAUACUCCCUCAUCCGAGGAUCAAAAAUUGAUAGGCUGGUGAUUGAGCCCAACGAGUUAUUAUUGCUAGUGGUCGGGUUGUUGCAUUCG